GGAGGAGCGAGAAGAAUUUGGAGUUUGGAUGAUCGCUGCUCUUCGUUCUCUACCAUCACCGACUCAUCUCUGCCUUCUUCAUUCCUUGCCGUCACUGGUGUCGGAGGAGGCUCAUGGUUUCUUUGAAACGUUCAGGAACCAAGUCGUCGGAGCUGCUGGGGGGUGCUGUGCGAGCUCGAUCUAUGGUUGCUAACUCGGUUUUCUCCUUGCUGGCAUGCUGUAUUCAAUUCUUCCUCUCCCUGUUCAGUUGCUUGUUUCAUUCUCUUCCUCUUUGUUUCUGCCGUGGAGAGAGUUUUGUCGUUACCUGCGCGUUUUCUUUCCUUUUCUUCUCUCAGUUCGGCGACAUAUAGGCUGCUUCAUUGUGCUCCUUUUUCUGUUCCAUUUUACUGGGUUGAGGGAGUGUGGAAGAAAAGAAUCCUAGUAGAAAUUGAAGAAAGAAUAUUUGGAAAUUGGAGACUUCAACAAAUUCAUUACCUGACGUUGAUUCUACCGCCGACCUCUAAAGGGCAAUACAGUUAUACUGGGUGAAAAUUUUUUUCAUGGUAUUGUUACCUUUUGAUAUAAAUGUUUUAAGACUCAUGUAUUUUAAAUUUAGAAGAAAGGUUAGUCACUCCAUAUAGAUUGUUGUUAAGACUUUAUUUUGAUUUGUAUACUGUUUGGUGGCUGGAAGGAGCUAAGCUCUUAAUUGAUACUAUAUUUUGUAAAAAUUUCUGUGUUGUGGAAUUUUCAGGAGAUCCUAUUUACAAGGGAGGUUCUGCUAAAA